rnacentral:rRNA from 1 species
GAUGAACGCUGGCGGCGUGCCUAAUACAUGCAAGUCGAGCGAACAGACGAGGAGCUUGCUCCUCUGACGUUAGCGGCGGACGGGUGAGUAACACGUGGAUAACCUACCUAUAAGACUGGGAUAACUUCGGGAAACCGGAGCUAAUACCGGAUAAUAUAUUGAACCGCAUGGUUCAAUAGUGAAAGACGGUUUUGCUGUCACUUAUAGAUGGAUCCGCGCCGCAUUAGCUAGUUGGUAAGGUAACGGCUUACCAAGGCAACGAUGCGUAGCCGACCUGAGAGAGUGAUCGGCCACACUGGAACGGAGACACGGUCCAGACUCCUACGGGAGGCAGCAGUAGGGAAUCUGCCGCAAUGGGCGAAAGCCUGGCGGAGCAACGCCGCGUGAGUGAUGAAGGUCUUCGGAUCGUAAAACUCUGUUAUUAGGGAAGAACAAAUGUGUAAGUAACUAUGCACGUCUUGACGGUACCUAAUCAGAAAGCCACGGCUAACUACGUG